GACGAACGCUGGCGGCGUGCUUAACACAUGCAAGUCGAACGGAAAGGCCCUGCUUUUGUGGGGUGCUCGAGUGGCGAACGGGUGAGUAACACGUGAGUAACCUGCCCUUGACUUUGGGAUAACUUCAGGAAACUGGGGCUAAUACCGGAUAGGAGCUCCUGCUGCAUGGUGGGGGUGGAAAGGUUCGGCGGUUGGGGAUGGACUCGCGGCUUAUCAGCUUGUUGGUGGGGUAGUGGCUUACCAAGGCUUUGACGGGUAGCCGGCCUGAGAGGGUGACCGGCCACAUUGGGACUGAGAUACGGCCCAGACUCCUACGGGAGGCAGCAGUGGGGAAUAUUGCACAAUGGGCGGAAGCCUGAUGCAGCAACGCCGCGUGCGGGAUGACGGCCUUCGGGUUGUAAACCGCUUUCGCCUGUGACGAAGCGUGAGUGACGGUAAUGGGUAAAGAAGCACCGGCUAACUACGUG
rnacentral:rRNA from 1 species